GAAGUACCCCGCUGAGCGCGACCUGCCCGGACACGCUCCCGACCCGCGGCGGCGCCGACCCGCGGCGGGGGGCGCAGAGCGCUCGGCCCCGAAAUUACUUCCUUACAAAACGAGGUGGGAGGAGAAGGGGGUCGGCUUUGACCAUCUGCAAACGCUGGACGUCGUCAGCGGCAGUGGUGGCGGGAGCUGGGAGUGGCGGGAGCUGGGAGUGGCGGGAGGGGAAGGGUUUAACCAGGAGGAACGUUGUGGGUGGGGAGAGACCAGAGGCCUUGGCAAUUAGAGACUUGGGUAAACAAGCCCAGAAAAGAGAUUGGAAAAGGAAACUUUUCGAACUUGAAGAGUAUGGGCAGUAACAGGGAAGGGAAAUGAGAAGAACCUUAAUCACCGCAGAGGAGAUGCCAGAGGCCCUGUGAGAAAGCUCCGGGUCCCAGGAAGUCACUGCAAACAGAAGCCCUGGUGCCAGCCAGAAAGAACAUCGUGUUUGAGUUGGGAAGGGAUUUGUGUGUGUCCUUCCAGAUAGGUCGAUAUCGCCCAUUGUGGAUGUUUAGCAAAAACGAGUGGAUCGUUAUCAUAUGGAAAACGUUCAAAUCUUUUGUGGGAGGGCUGAGCUACCUGGGAACGUGAAAUUAUUUGCAUAAUGUUUGGCGAGGCCAUGAGUAAUUCUACUAUUAUGAAGAGGAGUAAUUAGGAGUGGUUAACGGUUACUGAGAGCCGCUUCAUGCUAAGGACUUUGACAUGCAUUUUCUCAUUCCGUCCUCAGAACAACCGUUGCUACUUUACGGGUGCAGAAACUGAGGUUUGUAGAAAAUUGCCCAAGUUCACUUAGGCAGAGAGCACUGCCCUGAUUCCGAACCAGGCAGGCCCACAGAGAGCAAGAGCUCUUACCCACUGUAGCCUUCCCAGCAAUCAGUUUCUUAGAAAAUGUGUGUUUUCGCCGAACGCGGUGGCUCACGCCUGUAAUCCCAGCUCUUUGGGAGGCCGAGGCGGGUGGUUCGUUUGAGGCCAGGAGUUCGAGACCAGCCUUGCCAAUAUGGUGAAACCCCGUCUCUACUGAAAUACAAAAGAUUAGCCGGCCUUGGUGGUGCACGCCUGUCGUCCCAGUUGCUUGGGCGGCUGAGGCACGAGAAUCGCUUGAACCUGGGAGGCGGAGGUUGCAGUGAGCCGAGAUCGCGCCACUGCAUUCCAGCCUGGGUGACGGAAUAAGACUCUGUCUCAAAAAAGAAAAAGAAAAAAAAAGCGUGUUUUCAUAUUAGCUGUGCUGUUUAAUGAAAAGAUUGCAAAUUCGUUGCAUGGGCUCCCUAGAAGUGCUUAGUUUGGUUUACAGUAUUGGCCUUCAAAAUGUAUUGUAAAAAUUUGAAUUGAUUACCAACAUUUUAAACAUUGAGGGAUUGCAUGAAAAACCCAGAUUCCAGCAUCUCUUGGAAAACCAGAAUCUCUGACAACGUGGGAUCCAUUUUCCAAAAGUGCAAACUAGGUUUGAAGUGUGGUCGAAGCCACACCCUUUAGAGGAACCUAGGGUGCUCCUGUUCACCACACUCCCCGCUGUUUGCUUUUCCCAUUUACAUUAUCUGGCCUCAGUAGGCAUUUGAGGUUGUUUAUUUAUCUUAAAUCAUUCAGUCAACACAAACCAGCAAGUAUUUAUUUAUGGCUUGGUCCUGCUGAAGGUAUGGACAACAAUAUAAGCAUGGAACAAAACUGCUCUUGAGUUUAAACAACAUAGUUUCGAGGCUGAUGUUGGCUGUUUUUGAAUGGGGUAUAUACAAACGAGUAAAAGUGGACAGAAUUUAGGAAUCAUCACAAGACGCAGGAAGCACACUGGAGAUGCUGCCUUGAAAUCUAUUAUCCCCAAGUGGUAAUUCAAAACCACUCCAGGCUCAUUUUGACUUACCUAAUACAUAAGGAACACCGUUAACUUUUUGGUUGCAUAAAUUAUUAAAUUUCUGUCGUUCAAAUACGCACCCUGAAAUGCAGAGAAUAUACUCAACAACCACCAAAAAAAAAAAAAAAAAGUGAAUCACAACAUUGUUUACCUAUAAAAGGUAUGUUAAUCCCAUCCUCUAACAUUUUCAUUAGAAAAGAAUUGGUCAUGUGACUCACACUGGCUACAAACCUUAGGCAACUCUGUUUUUUAGGGAAUUGCAAAUUCAGCUUGCAAGGAGGAAAAGAGCGGAAAGAAGUCGGGCGAGGUGGGUUUUGGACAUGGGUCAGAUUCAGCUGGUUUAUAGAGGACUUUUAAAGAUUUAGGAUUUGAGAUGGUCCAUAAACUCUUUGGCAGAUCUAACAUUCUCUAAAGAGAAUUGGCCAGGCAUAGUGGCUCACGCCUGUAAUCUCAGCACUGUGGGAGGUGGAGGCUGGGGGAUCGCUUGAGUCCAGGAGUUGAUGACCAACCUGGGUAACAUGGUGAAACCCUGUCUCUGCAGAUAAUACAAGUAUAAGCUGUAGUGUCAGCUACUCAGGAGGCUGAGGUGGGAGGAUUGCUUGAGCCAAGGAGGAGGAGGUUGCAGUGAGCUAUGAUCGAGCCACUCCACUCUAGCUUGAGCGACAAAGGGAGAACCCUGUCUCAAAAAAAAAAAAAAAAGCUAGAAGCAGAGUGAAUAGCUUCUUUUAACUGUAUAUCCUCUGGAAAAGGGAGGUAUCAUUUAAUGUUGGGCUUGCAACAAAUAUAAACAUGGAGAUAUUUGACCAAACGAAAUAAUUAAUAAAAAUGUAUCAUGAAGCGUUAGAAUUCCCUACUAUUUUUUUUUAAGUAGGACUGGUGAAAAUGACAUUUUAAAAAACUAUUAGAUAAUCCUUUCUCGUGAAACAAGUUCAAAAAUGACAGUGCACAUCUGAUCAUUUCGAUGUCAGUGUUUAAAAAAAGAAAAAUGUAUACGUAUCUAUAUAUAUAUAUGAACCACAAUGACAAAACAAAAUAAGCAUGAUUAGUAAUAGAAUAGUCAUUCAUAUAUUUCUUGCAGAAAAUAGGAUUUGACAGUUAAACAAGAGGACAUGAGAUAUAAAUGAGGCAUAUGUAGAGUCAGCCUGGGAUAAAAUAUACAGGCUGUAGAUCGAUUGUGUUUGUUCUAAUAAAAGUGUUUGUUGUUGUUGUUUUCCUGUAUAGCAUGUUUGUUAACAGGAAAUUAGCCAGAGUAUUUGAUGGAUUAUAUCUCUCACGCCUGUAAUCCCAGC
rnacentral:lncRNA from 1 species